rnacentral:rRNA from 1 species
AUGCAUGUUCCCCCACCUGUGGCCCUCCCCUGUGCUCACUUUCUUCCCUCGGCCGCCGGCCAAGUUCAGAAUUUUGGAGAACCUUUCUUUAUGGUUAUUCGUGAGGAUGAGACCUUAUCUUCUAUUAAAGAACGUUUACAGAAAAAGCUUAAGGUCUCAGAUGAGGAUUUCUCCAAGUGGAAAUUUGUGUACAUAUCCCUUGGUUGCCCAGACUAUUUUGAAGAUUCUGACACUGUAGCCACGAGAUUUCAGAGAUACAUGUAUCGAGCUUGGGCGCAGUAUCUUGGACUGGAGCACCCAGACACAGCGCCAAGAAAGGCACAUAGUGCUAACCAGGACUGGUUGCUCAAGUUAUUGACGGAGCCUGAGAAGUUCAUGUACAGCGACAACAACAAAGUUCAUGUUGUCAGAAAACUAAAGUCCAUGUAUAUGGAAGUUGAUGAUUGUUAUAGUCGAUUGAAGGGUGUUUUCCUUGAGAAUGGAACCUCAGAGGAAUUCUCGCUUCUUCUUCCACAGCUCGCGAGAUCAAAGGGCAUUGUCGACAAAGCUAAGCUCAAGAGUGCAACUUCAGUCGAAGAUAUGCAUUAG